rnacentral:tRNA from 1 species
GGAAGGGUGGCUCAGUGGUAGAGCGCCGACGCACGUUUCGUGCAACAGGCUUCGCGUGGUUCGAAUCCCGCCCCUUCCG